rnacentral:rRNA from 1 species
AUAUUGCACAAUGGGCGCAAGCCUGAUGCAGCCAUGCCGCGUGAAUGAAGAAGGCCUUCGGGUUGUAAAAUUCUGUUAUAAGGGAAGAAAGGUGAUAGGAGGAAAUGACUAUCAAUUGCCGGUACCUUAUGAGAAAGCCACGGCUAACUACGUGCCAGCAGCCGCGGUAAUACGUAGGGGGCUAGCGUUAUCCGGAAUUACUGGGCGUAAAGGGUGCGUAGGUGGUUUCUUAAGUCAGAGGUGAAAGGCUACGGCUCAACCGUAGUAAGCCUUUGAAACUGGGGAACUUGAGUGCAGGAGAGGAGAGUGGAAUUCCUAGUGUAGCGGUGAAAUGCGUAGAUAUUAGGAGGAACACCAGUUGCGAAGGCGGCUCUCUGGACUGUAACUGACACUGAGGCACGAAAGCGUGGGGAGC